rnacentral:misc_RNA from 1 species
GCCCCUCCCCCCUCCCUCCCUAUCCCACCCCUCCGGUCCGUCGCUUUCCCCCUUCGCAGCCAUGACGCGGCAGGCCGAUGAGCAGAAGUCCAUGCGCAAGGUCACCGGCAGCGGCGAGGCUGAGAAAACGUCUAAGCUGCGCACCGACGACCUUGCGGCGCUGCAGGAGCGCAUGAAGAAGCUGCACGCCGAGGUGACUCAGCAGAGUGAGGCUAAGGAGCAGCGUGCGCGCGAGCUGGCCGCAGUCCCGGUGGCGGACGAGGAUGUGCAGGUCGUGGCGGCGGCGCUGACGGUGACGCCCGAGUGCGCGCGGUCCCUGCUGCAGGAGAAGAACGGGGAUGUGACAGCGGUGCUGCGCGAUGCAGUGGGCCUGCCGAAGGCUCGUGCGUAGUGGCCGCAGCUUUCCUGCCCCGUCUCCCUUCCCGCCGGUGCGCAUGUGCCUAUGCGCGUCCGGCUACUCGGGUCGUGGCUUUGUGCUACUGAGGAAGUGUGUUGUUGGGUGGUGCGUGACAUGUCCCUGUAAGUUCGACUGGAAAAGUACAUGCGAAACGAC